AUGACCUGCAGUGACCUGCUGCUACCAGAACUGACUCGCUUCAAAGUGACGGAUGAAACCCAUAUGGAGAUAUUCCUGGGGUGGGUAGGCCAGUUGGAAGACAGAGUGUUUACACCUGAGAGAGGACUUGAGAAUUUUACUCAGUCACGUUGCUCACUGCUGCGCACUCCUGCAGACGCAUCCCAGUGGACUCUGCGCUGCAUCCCCAGAGUACAGCGAGUUUCCCGCCUCCCGUUAGAGAUCCAACACAUAUUUUUUUUGAAAGAAGAAACUGAUGGAAGACAGGAAGCAAAAAGGAGAGGAAGGAAAGGGAUAGGAAGGAGGGGAAGGAAAGGGAAAGGAAGGAAAAGAAAGGAAAGUGAACUUGAAAUCCUACAAGGUCUCAAAGUCAAAAAACAUGAUUGCUGUUUUAGAGAAUUGAAGAUCCUUCAUCUUCAAGAAUCUGAAAUCUACCAUGAUCUUCACAUGUAGCCAAACACAAUGGGAUGUAGUCAUUUAAGAGUGCUGUGAAGGCAGUGAAAAGCAGUUGAAAUACCAUUAGUUAACAGAUUGCCCAAUGAAGUCGAUGACAACUGUGAUAACAAGUUACUCACUAUCACAGCGUCUCCAAGAGAUGAACAGUGGAUGAUGCUUCCAAAGCACAGAUGUCCCUCUCCUCCUCAACCUUCUCUCCCCAGAAAGAUGUCAACACUGUGGAGAUUGUGCUAUGAAGAUACCUGCACCCAGUUCCGGAUUUCACACCAAGCCUUUGCUGAGGAUAUGAGAGUAAUAAAAAGGGGAGCCCUGGUUCUUCCUCUCCUUUAGUGUCUUUCCUGGAAGUGGACUGCGAGAAGAGCUUCUUCAGCCACCUUCUGCCUGCAGACAACCUCCAUGAGUUUGCUUUAGAAGAAGGCUUCAAUUUGAAGAAAGUCAAAUAAAACAAGGUCAUUGUGUUUGCAAUUGAUCCUUGGAGACAGCGACAUCUGCGAAGCUUCCAAGCCACGGUGGUUCCACCUUCACAAGUAUCCUUCAAAGGCAUCCUGCAACCACCCCAUCCAUCCAAGUACUCCGUUGUAGGAUUCAAAAGCAAAUUGCAGGGUUUGCUGCCUGGCAGAGAAGCAUAGACACAAAGCAUGAGAGAGCAAAACCUAUGAGUUGACCAUAUCAUAAACACAAAUAGAUAUAUGCAGAAUACCAGCUAAAAAAUAGGCAAUAAACUUAAACAAUAGGACUAUGAGUAGACAUAGCAAGUGCUGGGUAGAGAUGACAGUUUUGUGUCCUGUUAGAGCUAAGUCAGAAAUCUGGGUCGAAGUGAAUGUGAGGGAGGAAAAGGCCAUUACAAUAUUUAAGAAGCAGCUCCAAUAUUUUUAAAACGUGAAGGAAAACUUGCAAGCAAUCUCUAGGGCUGGAGGGAGAGAAAUGCAAAGCCCUCUCAGCCUGCUCCACCAUUAUCUUUUGCAUUCCAAUAACUGACAUGCUGCUGAAUGUUAUGACUAUUUGUUUAUUGUUGACUGUUCUUGGCACUGCUCAGUGUAGCCAAAGAUUCCUUGCCUACAAGAAAGUCUUGCUCAGACAAUAAACCACGG
rnacentral:lncRNA from 1 species